rnacentral:rRNA from 1 species
UACGUAGGCAGCAAGCGUUGUUCGGAAUUACUGGGCGUAAAGAGUGUGUAGGCGGUGCUCUAAGUCUGUUGUGAAAUCUCCCGGCUUAACUGGGAGGGUGCGGCGGAGACUGGAGUGCUAGAGUGUGGGAGAGGUAAGCGGAAUUCCUGGUGUAGCGGUGAAAUGCGUAGAUAUCAGGAGCAACACCUGUGGUGUAGACAGCUUACUGGACCACGACUGACGCUGAGACACGAAAGCGUGGGUAGCAAACAGG